GGCUUGGUGGUCUAGAGGUAUGAUUCCUUCUUAGGGUUAAUGUUUGGAGGAGGUCCCGGGUUCAAUUCCCGGCCAAGCCC